AACGAACGCUGGCGGCACGCCUAACACAUGCAAGUCGAACGAGAUCUUCGGGUCUAGUGGCGCACGGGUGCGUAACGCGUGGGAAUCUGCCCUUUGGUUCGGAAUAACAGUUGGAAACGACUGCUAAUACCGGAUGAUGACGAAAGUCCAAAGAUUUAUCGCCAGAGGAUGAGCCCGCUUAGGAUUAGCUAGUUGGUGUGGUAAAGGCGCAACAAGGCGACGAUCAUUAGCUGGUCUGAGAGGAUGAUCAGCCACACGGGGACUGAGACACGGCCCAGACUCCUACGGGAGGCAGCAGUGGGGAAUAUUGGACAAUGGGCGAAAGCCUGAUCCAGCAAUGCCGCGUGAGUGAUGAAGUCCUUAGGGUUGUAAGGCUCUUUUACCCGGCAUGAUAAUGACAGUACCGGGGGAAUAAGCUCCGGCUAACUCCGUGCCAGCCGCCGCCGUAA
rnacentral:rRNA from 1 species